rnacentral:rRNA from 1 species
UACCCGCGCCCCGAGUGGUGACCGCGAUUAUUUGGCUUAAAGCGUUCGUAGCCGGUCUUGUAAGUCCCUGGUGAAAUCGAUUGGCAGACCAAUCGGAUGGCUGGGGAUACUGCAGGACUUGGGACCGGGAGAGGUUAGAGGUACUCCAGGGGUAAGGGUAAAAUCUUAUAAUCCCUGGGGGACCACCUGUGGCGAAGGCGUCUAACUAGAACGGAUCCGACGGUGAGGGACGAAAGCUAGGGGAG